rnacentral:rRNA from 1 species
GUUGAAGGGCCGCGGUAAUUUGACCGUGCGAAGGUAGCAUAAUCAUUAGCCACUUAAUUGGGGGAUGGAAUGAAGGGUUGGAUGAGAGAUAAGCUGUCUUUUUAUUGAAGCUUGAAUUCUACUUUUAAGUGAAAAGGCUUUAAUUAUAUAAAGUGAAGAUAAGACCCUAUAAAACUUUAUAUAAGUUAUUGUUAUAUCUCUUUAAUAGUGUCAACUAGGUUAUAAUUGUCUUAUAUUUUGUUGGGGCGACAGGAAUAGAAAUAAUAUCUGUUUUUUUAAUGAAUUAGGGAUAACUAAAACUUGAUCCUUUAUUAGAGAUUAGAAGACUAAGUUACUUUAGGGAUAACAGCGUGAUUUUCUUUGAGAGUUCUUAUCGACAAGAGUAGUUGCGACCUCGAUGUUGAAUUAAAAUUUAUCUUUUAAGUGCAGUAGCUUAAUUAGUAAGUCUGUUCGACUUUUAAAUUUUUACAUGAUUUGAGUUCAAACCGGUGUGAGCCAG